GCUACCAGAUGUGUAGGUGCCCUCAAUGACUCAGUAGCCGGUGUAGAUCCUGUGUUUAGUAAUCAGUAGCUACAUCUGGCUACUGGGUCUCUGAUGGCAUCAUCUA
rnacentral:miRNA from 1 species